UACGUAGGGUGCGAGCGUUAAUCGGAAUUACUGGGCGUAAAGCGUGCGCAGGCGGUGAUGUAAGACCGAUGUGAAAUCCCCGGGCUUAACCUGGGAACUGCAUUGGUGACUGCAUUGCUGGAGUAUGGCAGAGGGGGGUGGAAUUCCACGUGUAGCAGUGAAAUGCGUAGAGAUGUGGAGGAACACCGAUGGCGAAGGCAGCCAUCUGGACCGACACUGACGCUGAGGCGCGAAAGCGUGGGGAGCAAACAGG
rnacentral:rRNA from 1 species